ACGGCGAGUGAAGCGGCAACAGCUCAAAUUUGAAAUCUGGCUCUUUCAGGGUCCGAGUUGUAAUUUGCAGAGGGCGCUUUGGCGUUGGCAGCGGUCCAAGUUCCUUGGAACAGGACGUCACAGAGGGUGAGAAUCCCGUACGUGGUCGCUAACCUUCGCCGUGUAAAGCCCCUUCGACGAGUCGAGUUGUUUGGGAAUGCAGCUCUAAAUGGGAGGUAAAUUUCUUCUAAAGCUAAAUACUGGCCAGAGACCGAUAGCGCACAAGUAGAGUGAUCGAAAGAUGAAAAGCACUUUGGAAAGAGAGUCAAAUAGCACGUGAAAUUGUUGAAAGGGAAGCGCUUGCAGCCAGACUUGCCUGUAGUUGCUCAUCCGGACUUUUGUCCGGUGCACUCUUCUGCGGGCAGGCCAGCAUCAGUUUGGGCGGUUGGAGAAAGGUCUCUAUCACGUACCUCCCUUCGGGGUGGCCUUAUAGGGGAGACGUCAUGCAACCAGCCUGGACUGAGGUCCGCGCAUCUGCUAGGAUGCUGGCGUAAUGGCUGUAAGCGGCCCGUCUUGAAACACGGACCAAGGAGUCUAACAUCUAUGCGAGUGUUUGGGUGUCAAGCCCGAGCGCGUAAUGAAAGUGAACGGAGGUGGGAACCCUUAAGGGUGCACCAUCGACCGAUCCUGAUGUCUUCGGAUGGAUUUGAGUAAGAGCAUGGCUGUUGGGACCCGAAAGAUGGUGAACUAUGCUUGAAUAGGGUGAAGCCAGAGGAAACUCUGGUGGAGGCUCGCAGCGGUUCUGACGUGCAAAUCGAUCGUCAAAUUUGGGCAUAGGGGCGAAAGACUAAUCG
rnacentral:rRNA from 1 species